AGCCCUCCACCAGAUUAGAUUUCCUAGUUUUUAGGGUCGUCAAAGACGAUGACGUUGAUAGGAUGCAGGUGUAUGGAUGGAGACAUCUUCAGCCGAGCAUUACUAAUAGCCCGAAGCUUUCCUGUG
rfam:Bacteroidetes bacterium oral taxon 272 str. F0290 ctg120009420967, whole genome shotgun sequence.